GGAGGCUUCGCCUAGUCCGGUCUAUGGCGCCGCACUGCUAAUGCGGUUUGGGUUAAUCCCCAUCCCGGGUUCAAAUCCCGGAGCCUCCGCCC
rnacentral:tRNA from 1 species